CAAGCCCUGGAAACGGGGUCUAAUACCGGAUAGGACUACCGGCCGCAUGGUCUGGUGGUGGAAAGCGUUAGUGGUGCAGGAUGAGCCCGCGGCCUAUCAGCUUGUUGGUGGGGUGAUGGCCUACCAAGGCGACGACGGGUAGCCGGCCUGAGAGGGCGACCGGCCACACUGGGACUGAGACACGGCCCAGACUCCUACGGGAGGCAGCAGUGGGGAAUAUUGCACAAUGGGCGGAAGCCUGAUGCAGCGACGCCGCGUGAGGGAUGACGGCCUUCGGGUUGUAAACCUCUUUCAGCAGGGAAGAAGCUUUUAUCGGUGACGGUACCUGCAGAAGAAGCACCGGCUAACUACGUGCCAGCAGCCGCGGUAAUACGUAGGGUGCGAGCGAUGUCCGGAAUUAUUGGGCGUAAAGAGCUCGUAGGCGGCGUGUCACGUCGGAUGUGAAAGCCCGGGGCUUAACUCCGGGUCUGCAUUCGAUACGGGCUCGCUAGAGUUCGGUAGGGGAGAUCGGAAUUCCUGGUG
rnacentral:rRNA from 1 species